AGGGAGGGAUUGCUGGAGUGGAAACAUGGCAAGAACCGGAAAGAGCUCAAGAUUUUGCUACUACCUUGCUAAUAAAUUUGUGAGGUAAUUCAGCUAGCUACAUGUGUAUUUGUUUCUGCUAUACCAAGGUCAUUAUUCUGAUUUAGAAAAUAGAAACAUGAAUUCUGAUUUAAGAGUCUAAUAGCAAAUGUUGGUAGCAUUAAUAGAAUGUGCAUUGUACGCACAAGCUAAUAGUAGAGUUUAAUUCUUCUCAAGUAGCGGUUGUUGAUGUAGACUUGAACUAAUUAAUAAGGUAGGUAUCAAGUAGUGAUAUCGUCCACAAUCGAUGGACGACUAAUAUUCUUGAGCAGGCUCACAGAGCGAGAGACGAACCUGGGCUGACCGGGACCCUUCUAAAACUGUUGUAUAUCUAUGAUUCUGAUCUGUAUAAAAGAACUACAUAGGAUCAUUUUUGUUCUUAUUUUUAAGACAUGCAUGAUCAUCCUAGGCAUUUUGCUGACAAGUAAAAACCUGAAACUAAUUUCUAUUUAACAUAAACUCUAAUAUCUAUACUAUACAGGCAUUUUAGACAUGUAUAUUGGCUCACCAACAAUUUGUCUUCUGUUGAAAUGAAUGGUAACACUUGAUUUUAAAUUUCCUAAAUCUUUAUUAUUCUUCUGUUGCAAUAUAAUAUAACGAGGCAUGGUCAGCAGGAAACCUAAUUCUCCGUGAACAUGCGCAAAAGAGUCAACUUUUAGUUCUUUUAGAAUUUUUGUUCUUUCCUUAGAGUUCAUGAGAAUUAUUUGUAGACGGUGUUGUGAUGCUCCAGUACUUGUGUGAUGAUAUUCUUCUGACUCUUGCAAUGUCCUAUGCUGACAAAUACAAAUGCUCUGCUCUAUUUGAUGCUAUAAUUGUUCAUUUUGAAUCCAUUGCCUCUUUGUAAUGGUAAACCAGAGUCCCUUGACAGUUCGUUGGUCAUCUUCUUCUCAUGACAGAACUGGCAAGAUGUCAUGAUGGAACAAUAUCUUUUCUGCAUGUAGUAAAUUAUUUUCUUAUUAGUUUAGAUCCGUUAACUGCACUAUAUUUUUAGGAGGUGUCACACUAAGAAUUUCAUAGUUGGAUUUUGAUGUUCCAGGUUGCUUUAUGGAAGUAUUUAUAGGCUUGCCAUGACAAGGUAUUUUAUUAGUUUGUUAUCUCCCUUUCCAUAGACUUUUUACAUUCUACUCUGGUUAUUAAGUACGUAUACAUAUAAAGUGUGCUCUAUUGCUUAACUAAAUUCUGGACUUCAGGUAUACUACCUGACAAUGCACCCCGUGUUGAUAAAAAUAACAUUGGGAUGCACCACAUACAGAUUCACAAAGUUUAGGUCUGUUUCCUUGGAGAUUCACAAACAAGUGAUGUAGAAUUGGAAAAUAGUGAUGUAGAAUUGAUCCGAAUUUUAAACAGACCUGCACCUGGGUUUUUAACUGCCUUUUCUGUAUCUUAUUCUUUUACAGGAAUGCAUCAAUAAUCUUGGUAUAAAAUUUAUUUGGAUGGUUCAGAACCUUCAGAUGGCAUGGCUGAGAUAUAGUUUGUUGUAUUCAGUUUUUUUUUCAUCGUCACAGGUUUGCAAAUUUUGGUUCUACUGCCAGUGCAUACUUUAUGUUUCCAUUUCCAUCAAUUCAUCUUGUAGAAUCUCUGUGACCCUCGACGUUGGUUUGGAAGUUCGGUUCAGUCAUAGCCUAAUUUUUGGGUCUUCGCAAAAAAAGGCCUAAUUUUGGGAUUUAGUAAUUGUGGCCUGUUGUUAGUAUGCGAGUGUACAUACAAACGAUUGGCACUAUAUUUAUUUUGAUUUAUUUGUUGUGAUUAAGAGCAGAAGCUCUACUCAUCUAGGACGAGAUCUAUGACAAGGAAAGUUAAUGUAAAAAAUCAAAAUUGUGUGUGUUUGUGUGGUUAAUACACACUUCAUUUUGAUAUAUUUGUCUUCUAAUAACCCACCGUGCACAGGACAGACCAUGCAAGCAUCAACUUAUUGAGAAAUGACUUAUUAACCUAUUAAAAGACCAUACCGGAACCACCUAUGGCAUAACCUUUUCAAAACAUUUAAGUAGGGGUGGGCAAUAGAAGCGUUGUAGUAACUGCUCGGUUGUUGAACGGACAAACAUUUUGACGACUACUCUUGCUUUCAUGGAUAUACAGAGAUAAAUGGAUGGAUGUUGCAAAUAUAGUAGAAAUCAUGGGUGCAACAAUUUUUAUGUCCAUGUUUUUCUUUUUGUCUGAUUGUGUAUGUAUACUGGUUACAGGGCACUAUUUGCGUAGAAUUUACUUGACCUGUAGGAACUGGCUCUACUAUCUAGCUUUUAAAUGUAAUAAAUCUAGAAGGCAAUGGAGCAUUACUGUCUUUCCCUCUUUCUACAUAAGCAAGAAAGCUGUGACUUGGAUUCUGGACAUGAAUCUUCUUAACCUGUUGAAGCAGAAAACUAUAGAUGCAGAGUCCAAUUAGUUGUCCUUUGUGCAUACACAAGAAAGUGGAAUUUGGAGUCUGAACAUGAAUCCUUGAGACUGAUGGCCAGAAACAUAACACAACAUGAUGACCUUGAGUGAGACCCUUCUUCACAUGUGACUGCUCUCUUUUGGAAUACCAGCCAUGCGUGACAUGUUUAGUAGAACAGAUUGUGUCGUACGUCUGGUAGUUGUUGUUGCCUAUACAGAGUGUGAUGAUCUGAGGGUGUGAACUAUUUUUUGUGCAAAAUACUUGUUAUAUAAACUAUAUGGAUGGAGUUACGGGACAUUAAGAAAAGAUAUGAGAAAGAAUAUAGAGUGUGAAAUUUGCUAUAUAAAUUACUUGUUAUAUAAAAGUUGAAUCUCACGAUCCAACUUUUUAGAACUAUGCCACAACUUUUAUGAGGCCAUAAGUUUUUCCUUUGAAAUCUGCAGGUUAUAUGAUUUGUACAUGGCGGUGUUACUGAACAGAAGGAGGUAAUUUCUUCGCUCUUUCUAUUGAUUAAUAUUGUUCUUCACUCUUUCUAAACUAUUGAAUUUAUUAAUAUUAUUCUUGCACAAAUUAAUUAAUGAUUAUAUCAUCUUUUGGUCACUCGAGUAAGAUAGAACAUGAUGAUCCUCUCUUAAUUUGGUUUCUCCUCCGCUGAAGAAUAUAGGAAUCACCAGCAGCCCUUCUCGUGAGCACCAUGUCUAUGAACUCAUCUCCAUGCUUACUAUCCUUCUAUAAACUGGGGGUAUCCAUGUGUUGCUAAUAAGGCAUUUUCCACUCUUUGUUUUUCAAUUCUGUAUCAGUAGUUCCGAGGAAGUGCUCAACCUAGACGUUGUUGGCCAAAGGAGGGGCGGAGCAGGUGCCAGUCAAAUAGGCGGCUCAAUGGGUGGGAGAUGGCAGCUGCCGAUCUCACACGGCUCAUGCGCCCCGCGACCCUCCCCUCCCCGGCUAAGUAGGAGGUUCGAGGGCAGCGACUAAGGAAGGAGCACAUCGGCGAUGAGGGCUAGCAAUAGCAAGACAAUUGCCAGGUGCAGUCGAUAUGCCGCCACGUCGGCCCUUCACGCGCGCCCGCCAGGGUCGGGACCUUUUUCAGAGUAAUGCGUAGUGUUUCCUUUAUUGUUGUUGUUUGUGAUGUCCUUGAUAUUCCUUUGCCAUAUGAUUUUUGAUCAUUUUCUCGCUCAUUCCUAGAGGAGCGCUAUGGAUAAUAUGAUUGAGAUGACUAAGAUACAUGCUUUUUGUUUACUUGGCAUCUGCUUCUCUUAAUUUUUUUACAACCCUUCCUUUACAUGCUGGUAUGUUUUGUUGCCAGGCUCAGAUCGGCGAGACCCGUGCCAAUGCACGAGGUACAAUAUUGGUUAAUUUUCCAUCUCCAAUCAGAUUAAUGGUUUGCAUGCAGACCAAGCCCAGUGUUUUAUGGUGUUCUUAUUCCUGAUUUAGUUGUACAUUUGACUUUUAGUUUCUUCAUAGAUAAUAAAGUAGUGGCAGAUGAACCAGUAAGUUAUAUGUGCCCAUUCUUUGCUGUAAGCAUUAAAUUUGCUCUCUGCUUUUACUUUCAAUGUGUUAUCCGUACCCCUGUUUUUUGUGGCUAAUUAUUAUGUCCUAUCAACAUAUGCAGAGUCCAUGGUAUCAUACGAUUUGAAGUUGAAAAAAUCAUGCUAUGGGUGAUACAGAAAAGUCAUUGCCUUCUUUGCUGGAACAUUUCCUAAGAUGAUCUAAGGUAAUUAUUUUAGUCAGCAUGUCAUUUAUAUGCUAAAUUCAGUGUGUUGACAACUAGAGAUCGCUUCCUUUUUUUGUGUAUUGAUCAUUUCAGUACGAUUGUUUGAUACACUGCCGACAUCAUUUUGCUUUCUUCUUGCUUGUUAUUUCAUUUAUUUCCUCCAGCAAGUGGAUGGCUAUUUCCACUGCUUCAAGUGUUGUUUUGGCUCUAAUUGUGUGUAUGGCAUCUUGGCCUUCUUAGGUGAAGCAUUUAUGAAUAUCCUCGCUGAUCUAUGGAUCUAUCAUUGUAAGAGUCGAUAAUAUAUGGUGAGCUGCCUCACACCAUCAUUUGGUCUUUGUAGCAUUUGAGUUGGCAAAUUUGUUGGAUUCAUGCAAUUAGGCAUGGUAAGUGCUCAGAGACCUCAUAGCUCUAUAAAUUUUGCUUCCAAAAGUUCUGAAUCUUUUCUGUGCUUGGUCCUCUCAUUGGUGAGAGUAGCCAUGUAAAUCAAUCUGCAAUGGGAAAUGGGAGUUUGCAAACUACCGGAGUCUAAUUGCUGAGGGACGAGGUUCGUAACUGAGGGUCAUGUGCAGAGCUGGAGGAAGAAGUUGCGAGGCUUGGAACUCUCCUUGUGAAGGGCUCAGGGACAACAGUGAGGACAAUGCCUCUUUAGUUGUAAUUGUGAUACUCCUGAUGUGCAAGUAAACAUUCCUGUGAUACUGCUUAUGCUAAAAUGUUGGUUGUUAGUACAGAGGUGGUGACAUUAUUUGGUUCUCUGAUAUUGAUUUCAUGAUUUGUAAUAUAAUCCACAUUGCAUUAUCUUUCCAGUAACAUCUCCUACUUAUGCACUACUAACAUUCUUUCUAAUUC
rnacentral:lncRNA from 1 species